AAAGUCGUAACAAGGUCUCCGUUGGUGAACCAGCGGAGGGAUCAUUACCGAGUUUACAACUCCCAAACCCCUGUGAACAUACCAUUUGUUGCCUCGGCGGAUCACCGCGCCCCGUGAAACGGGACGGCCCGCCAGAGGACCCAAACCCUGUCUUAAUUUGUAUCUUCUGAGUACCACUAUAAAUAAAUCAAAACUUUCAACAACGGAUCUCUUGGUUCUG
rnacentral:misc_RNA from 1 species